UGUGUAUAAUUAAAAUGGGUGGGGUGUUUUGAUUGGUUGAAUUUUCGACGUAGGAUGCGAAUUGACAUUCACACGCAAGGCUAAAAACAUUAAACUCACCAUAUAUGUUAUGUAAGUCGGAUUGUGUUUGAUAGACACACUUAAGGUCAAAUUCAGGGGUUCAAUAGGAACAACACUUAGUUGAGGUGCCAAAAUGGAAAAAAGGGACGAGUUUGGCCCCAUACCCUACUACAAUUCUUAUUCAAUAUAAUACUCCCUCCGUCCCAAUUUAAGUGUCUUACUUUUCUUUUUGGUCUGUCCCAAAAAGAAUGCCUCUUUCUAUAUUUAGUAAGUUUUCCAAUCCCAAGACAAAUUUAAGACUGCAACAUUUAAAAGACUACACACAUCUUUUAUUUAAGACCACAAGAUUCAAAAGUCUCUCUUUAUUUCUUAAACUGCGUGCUCAGUCAAACUGAGACACUUAAAUUGGGACGGAGGGAGUAAUAUUACUACAAUGUCGUGCCGAUGUCUCCCUUACAAAAUUGAAGAUAAGUCUUUUGAUUAGGGGGAUGACAACUGAGGUGUUUAAGAGAAGUUGCUAUAAAGAGCUAUCUCAUAUAAGGCCAGGCUUGUAGCCAAUAGAUUUAGAGUAGUGAUUAGUUUGCUUAAGGGCAUGGUAGUGGAGGGAACCAAACCAGAUGGUGUAGUAAGUCUUGGGAUAUGAAUGUUGAUUAAGUAUGUGAUACACAGUCCCGAGCAUUAUAAUUGUUUAAUAGACUUUAUUUGUCAGGCCAGUGUACUGUUAUGCCUCGAUCCCAAGCAAGUUGUAGUCGGCUAUAUGAAUCCUCAUUGACUUUGCCGAUCCAUUAAAGCUCAUGGUAGACUCAUUGUCGUGCCAGUGUAUGGAAAUUAGUUAGCAAUUUCUCCUCUAAUAAGAAUGACAAGUUACUGUUUCUAUGUAGGGGUCUUGCUGAGUUCCUGAAAUAAUUUUGACAAUGUUGAAUCAAUAAUUUAGCUUCUCAAAGGGUACUCCAGUUGGACCCUCUAAAUGGCGUGGUUUAUUUUUUGCUUUCGAAAAUGUAUGCAAGGAAUAGUAUGUGGAAUGAGAAUGAGAAACCGAGGUAACAGAGAAGAGCCUAAAGAAAGGCAGUGACAUACCCUGGUAGACGUCACAAGAUGAGUUAAAGAUGCUGAUAUUAAAGAACCACAUUCUCCUACUCAUGGAUUCAUGUUGGUCAGCCGAAAAUGGUUUGAGGUAUUAGUAGUGCAGUUAGAGGACUUUGGUCGCUUGUGGUAUAUUUCAAAAAAUGUGAUAAGGGACUCUUCUUGAUGGAGUUGGAAUGUUCAUAAUGAGGUUUCUUACAUGGAAGUGCUGCCACAAGUUUGAAUUUCUAGUAAGAUUGAGCAAACUGCAAAGACAAUGCUUCACCGUGCCGUAGUUUCUUCGCGUAGAAUAUGAGAGCAGUAACAGGCUGAGAACAAAUGAAUUUCUUAACAUUGCAAAACCAUUUGUAAGGAUUUCCUUUUCCCCGAGCUUAUACAAAGCGCCAACAAAAUGUAAACAUAUCAAGGAAAAAGGCAUCAUCCUUCAUUUCCAUGCUGAUGUUCACUAUCAGCCGCACAUCUUUAAUUUAGCUUCUCAAAGGGUACUCCAGUCGGACCUUCUAGAUGAUGUAGUUCAUUUUUUGCUUUCAAAAAUGUAUGCAAGGAAUAGUAUGUGGAAUGAGAAUGAAAAACCAAGGGAACAGAGAAGAUGAAAAACCAAGGGAACAGAGAAGGGCCUACAGAAAGGCAGUGACAUAGCCUGGUAGACGUCACAAGAUGAGUUAAAGAUGCUGAUUUUAAAGAAACCACAUUCUCCGACUCAUGGAUUCAGGUUGGUCAGCCGAAAAUGGUUUGAGGUAUUAGUGGUGCAGCUUGAGGACUUCGGUCACUUAUGGUAUAUUUUGACAAAUGUGAUAAGGUACUCUUCUUGAUGGAAUUGGAAUGUUCAAAAUGAGGUUUGUUACACGGAAGUGCUGCCACAAGUUUGAAUUUCUAGUAGGAUUGAGUAAACUGCAAAGUCAGUGCUUCACCGUGCCGUAGCUUCUCCGCCUAGAAAAUGAGAGCAGUAGCCCGCUGAGAACAAAUGAAUUUCUUAUCACUGCAAAACCAUUUGUAAGGGUACAGUUAACUCAACUCACUGUCUAAAAGAAUUGCUGGGACUAAUAGAUUACUAACUUUUCUGUUUUCUCGUUUUGAAUCAGAUAUCUUUUUCCCUGAGCUUAUACAAAAUGACAGCAAAAUGUAAAAAUAUCAAGGAAAAGGCAUCAUCAUUCAUUUCCAUGUUGAUCUUCAUUAUCAACUAGCACAUCUUUCCCAGAUUGUUUUGCAGGUAAAAAGUAUUCAGCUAGGAUGGUUGGCUAUCAGCUGGGAUUGGCAAACUCCAUUUUCUUCCUGGAGCAGUGCCGAGUCAUUAUGGUUAUCAUAUGUGUGUAUGGGUACAUCGGGGCCGAGUCCCGACUCAUAUGAUUCAGGUGUUUAUUCUUAGAGACUUUGCAGACAGUGUCCUGUGGUUAGUAUUUAAGAUGUCAUGCAUUGAGUAAAGCGACCAUGUAGGCCGAUACGUCAGCUUUACUUAAUCGGUUUUUGAUUCAUUGAGUAUCAUUCGUAAAUUUCUAUGGUUUGACGGAAAGUACUUUAUUAUAUUUUUGAUUUUUUUUAUAUAUCCAAUUUCGUUAUGUGAAUGCCAGAGGGUUCGCUCAGCUCUAAGUAAGAGUUGGGUGCCCAUCAUGCCCUAUCGGAAUUGGGGUGUGACAUUGAUGUCCCAAAUGAU